rnacentral:rRNA from 1 species
UUGACCUACGGGAGGCAGCAGUGAGGAAUAUUGGUCAAUGGGAGAGAUCCUGAACCAGCCAAGCCGCGUGAGGGAAGACGGCCCUAUGGGUUGUAAACCUCUUUUGUCGGAGAACAAAACCCGGGACGUGUCCCGGACUGCGUGUAUCCGAAGAAAAAGCAUCGGCUAACUCCGUGCCAGCAGCCGCGGUAAUACGGAGGAUGCGAGCGUUAUCCGGAUUUAUUGGGUUUAAAGGGUGCGUAGGCGGGCUGUUAAGUCUGCGGUCAAAUGUCGGGGCUCAACCCCGGCCUGCCGUUGAAACUGGG